GUAAUACAAAUGUAGCAGAUCAUCAGGUAAAGAUGAAGAUACAAGUGCAAUAUUAGAUAAUCGUAAUACAAAUGUAGCAGAUGAUCAGGGUAAAGAUGAAGAUACAAGUGCAAUAUUAGAUAAUCGUAAUACAAAUGCAGCAGAUGAUCAGGAUAAAGAUGAAGAUACAAGUGCAACAUCAGAUAAUCGUAAUACAAAUGCAGAUUAUCAAGGUAGAGAUGAAGAGACAAGUCCAACAUCAGAUAAUCCUAAUACAAAUACAGCAGAUGAUCAAGGUAGAGAUGAAGAGACAAGUCCAACAUCAGAUAAUCCUACUACAAAUACAGCAGAUGACAAAGGUAGAGAUGAAGAGACUAGUGUAACAUCAGAUAUUCCUACUACAAAGACAGCAGAUGGUCAGGGUGGAGAUAAAGAGACAAGUCCAAUAUCAGAUAAUCCUAAUACAAAUGCAGCAGAUCAUCAGGGUAAAGAUGAAGAUACAAGUGCAACAUCAGAUAAUCGUAAUACAAAUGCAGCAGAUGAUCAUGGUAAAGAUGAAGAUACAAGUCCAACAUCAGAUAAUCGUAAUACAAAUACAGUAGAUGAUCAAGAUAAAGAUGAAGAGACAACCAACAUCAGAUAAUCCUAAUACGAAUACAGCAGAUGAUCAAGGUAGAGAUGAAGAGACAAUUCCAACAUCAGAUAAUCCAUACAAAUACAGCAGAUUAUCAAGAUAGAGAUGAAGAGACAAGUGCAUCAUUAGAUAAUCCUAAUACAAAUACAGCAGAUGAUCAAGGUAGAGAUGAAGAGACAAGUGCAUCAUCAGAUUAUCCUUAUACAAAUACAGUAGAUGAUAAAGGUAGAGAUGAAGAGACAAGUCCAACAUCAGAUAAUCCUAAUACAAAUAAAGCAGAUGACAAAGGUAGAGAUGAAGAGACAAGUGUAACAUUAGAUAAUCGUUAUACAGAUGUAGCAGAUGAUCAGGGAAGAGACAAAUGCAACACCAUCUAAAAAGAUGGAGCUAUGACAAUGGAAGUAUGUAAGUAUGUAAGAAAGAGGAAAAUGGUAGUGUAUAAAUUUCUGCUUAGAGAAGCAACAUAUUGAUGCUGUGAAAUAAAUAACUGAAAUAUCCUUUGUAAUAAACAAAACGGCAAACAUAGUAAUGUUUGCAAAAAACAUCUUUUAAAUACUUUAAAAUGAUUCUCAUUAUUUUCAAUAGGAUGGGACAUUCACAUUGUUUAAGACUAUAGAUAGUUGCUAAUAUUGAAUAAACGAUAAUUUCAUAUUCUAAUUAAAAUGUUCAAAACCGUUGCCUGCUUGAUCAUUUCAAACAGUGAAUUUACAAGACAACAUUAAAUCAUAAAAUGGAACUCUUCAAUUCAUGGAACAAGAUCUCAAAGAAAGUAACGUAAAAGAAGGUUCCAGUUGCAAUUGCUUGAAACACAGCAGAGAGGACAUGUUCAGUAAAAGAUGAUGAUUCAUAUUUCACCAAAAGUAUGCCAAUACCAAAACCUGUAAGACUUAGGGCAGAAAAUACAAAUGAUGACCGGGCUAUUGCUAGAGGAUGAUCGUAUUCUUGCAGUGUUCCAGGUGAUAACUGUGAACAGCUUGUCUCCUUGGUCAUCUAUCAUUUGUGUUAGCUGCACUCUUUCUUCUGAGCAAAAACUUUACCACGAAUGUGUGCAUCACUCCGUUAACGACGAAAGAGAUGUUGUAUCUGAUGUGACACAUGAUCAAGUCAGAGAAAAUGAAAACGAGUCUAAAGUUGCAACGACACCGUCUCCCUCUUUUGACGAUCUUGGUGUAGCUGAUGUAAUACAGCGAUCUCAGGAACUUUUAGGUGAUUUUUGUGUAUGUAAUAGUACAUCUGAGAAGGAUGCUGCUUCAAAUAGAAAAUUACUACGGCAUUUUGAUAAAAAUGGUGCUGAACAUUUAAUAAAAGAAUCUGAAGAAUUACUUAA